GGAAUAUUGGACAAUGGGCGAAAGCCUGAUCCAGCCAUGCCGCGUGUGUGAAGAAGGUCUUCGGAUUGUAAAGCACUUUAAGUUGGGAGGAAGGGCAGUAACUUAAUACGUUGCUGUUUUGACGUUACCGACAGAAUAAGCACCGGCUAACUCUGUGCCAGCAGCCGCGGUAAUACAGAGGGUGCAAGCGUUAAUCGGAAUUACUGGGCGUAAAGCGCGCGUAGGUGGUUUGUUAAGUUGGAUGUGAAAUCCCCGGGCUCAACCUGGGAACUGCAUUCAAAACUGACAAGCUAGAGUAUGGUAGAGGGUGGUGGAAUUUCCUGUGUAGCGGUGAAAUGCGUAGAUAUAGGAAGGAACACCAGUGGCGAAGGCGACCACCUGGACUGAUACUGACACUGAGGUGCGAAAGCGUGGGGAGCAAACAGGAUUAGAUACCCUUG
rnacentral:rRNA from 1 species